CACCACGACUGCCAGAGGUCUCUGAAGUCCCCUUUCAAUGCCAGGCAUCCUCAAAAGACCUCAAAAGACCCAGAUGUGGCACAUGCCGCUCAUGAACAACCACGUUAUCCGCGGACAGCAUGUGCAAUUGAAGGGGGUGUGGAGGUUUACACUUAAUUUAAACAAUUGAUUCUAAAUUGGUGGCUCAUAAAAGAGCAUUCUAUUUUUUUAAACAUUUUUUUUUCUUAUUUUUAUAGCCUUCACCUACUAAGACAUUUUACUAUACACUCCAAAUGUUCCCAUUGAAGUUGUUCAUAUGAACUUUUUGAAAGCAUUUUAACAUUGAAAAGAAAAAUGUAAUUCCCAGCAUCAUUUAAGAGGACUGCCGGGGCAUUCGUAUUUUGCCACUAGAGGUGAAAUUCUUGGACCGGCGCAAGACGAAGCAAAGCGAAAGCAUUUGCCAGAAUGUUUUCAUUAAUCAAGAAUGAAAGUCGGAGGUUCCAAGACAAUCAGAUACCGUCGUAGUUCCGACCAUAAACAAUGCCGACUAGCGAUCCAGCGGCGUUAUUCCCAUGACCCGCCAAGCAGCUUCCGGGAAACCAAAGUCUUUGGGUUCCGAGGGGAGUAUGGUUGCAAAGCUGAAACUUAAAGGAAUUGACGGAAGGGCGCGACCAGGAGUGGAGCCUGCGGCUUAAUUUGACUCAACGCGGGAAACCUCACCCGGCCCAGACAUGGAAAGGAUUGACAGAUUGAUAGCUCUUUCUCGAUUCUGUGGCUGGUGGUGCAUGGCUGUUCUCAGUUGGUGGAGCGAUUUGUCUGGUUAAUUCCGAUAACGAACGAGACUCCUCCAUGCUAACUAGUUACGCGACCCCCAGCGGUCGGCGUUCAAAUUCUUAGAGGGACAAGUGGCGUUCAGCCAAACGAGAUCGAGCAAUAACAGGUCUGUGAUACCCUUAGAUGUCUGGGGCUGCACGCGCACUACACUGAACGGAUCAGCAUGUGUCUACCUUCGCCGACAGGUGCGGGUAACCCGCUGAACCCCGUUCGUGAUAGGGAUUGAGGAUUGCAAUUAUUUCCCAUGAACGAGGAAUUCCCAGUAAGUGCGGGUCAUAAGCUUGUGUUGAUUAAGUCCCUGCCCUUUGUACACACACCGCCCAUCGCUAAUGAGCGGGGUGGGGAACACGAGCACGAGGGAGACACGGGAUGAGCGGGGUGUGGCGGAACACGAGGGAGACACGGGCAUGAGCGGGGUGAGGGGGUACA
rnacentral:rRNA from 1 species